rnacentral:tRNA from 1 species
GGGCUCGUGGUCUAGUUGGUUAUGACGUUUCCCUGACACGGAGAAGGUCUUGAGUUCGAAUCUCAACGAGCCCA